rnacentral:lncRNA from 1 species
CAAAUGAAAUAUGCAGCUAGCUGUAAAACUAGGUUUAUUCAUUUAUACAAAAUGUCCUUUUUUAAAGUUUUCCCAUUUACUGUAAAUCUUGGCCAGGGUGCCUCCAAAAUCCAAAAUCCCGGAUUCACGCUACCCUUGUCGUUGCUGGCAGAAAAUCAGUAAGUGUAUACAUGCUACAUGUAUGUGUAGUCUACUUGUUCAAAAAUAAAAACGAACAAUGAUGUUUCAACAGUUUAUCUGCUAUGAUCGGAAACAACCCUCCGAACUAGGCGAUUCGGGUACCCCGACGUUAUUCAAAAUGAGACCCGAGUUUUGCGGAUUUUUCGUGAUUUUUUUCAUAUUUUUCCCAAUUUUGUCUUCCAUCGAUACAAUGAAU